rnacentral:lncRNA from 1 species
CGUUUACAUAUCUUUAAAUAUAUCGUUCAUGGAGACGAUAUGCGAACACCUGCGCAAUGGCAUGUUAUUUAAAUUAUACAAAGUCAUGCAGGUUUAUUACUCUGCUUGUGCUCAAAGAAGAAAAAAGAAUUUAAUGCUUAUUGAAUGAGAGGUAGGCAAAACUAUUUAACAUGUUUACAAAAUUUACAAAGAAGAAAUGCAAAGAAUAUUUUUUGUUUAAGCGAUAUAAAUGAUCUGUGUAUUCAAUCCUGGUAAAUGCUUGAACAUAUGGUAAAGACAUAAUAAACAUCGAACUAAGGAUUCUCUACCCCAGGAACUGAUUACAUUAACUGUCAUCAAGCAUCAUACUUUAUGAAGUGUUUUUACUGUGUUAUUACGACUAUGACUGAUGAGUUCUUGUCUAGAUUAAACGUGCGUCUGACUUUCAAAAUUAUAAGCCUGAUAUUUUUGACGAUUUUCUUGUAACCUCUGAGUGGAUGCUACUGAUGUUUGAAUAAUUAACUUGUGUUACCUGAUUUUCAAAAAACAUUCGAAGUUUGUGUACCCAUGCGUUUCAACCUUUUGGCCAUUGAACUUUGUGAUUCAAGCGUGUCACUGAUGAGUAGUUUUUCUGGGGUACACAAUUAAAAGACUGAUAUUUUUUAUUAUUUUUAACAUAUGGUUAUCAUAGUAACGUUGACUAUGUCAUAAAUAUUUCUUAAAAGCGAUGGGGUUUAAUUUUCAUAAGCUAUAUAAUAAAUCCGUUUUCCGGAAAUUCAAAUGGUUAUUUCAUCCAGACAUGAUGAGUUUUCAUAAUUUGGUAUGCAAGUGAGGACACAGAUCAUCGUGGAUAAUAUAUUUGGAUAUUUGACAGUAUUUUCUAACAAAAAGAGUUUUCUGCUUUUGUUUGAUAAACUGAGUUUCACUGUGACAGCCAACGUGUACCAAACCUCUUGAAAUAAGCAGUGUCGUUUAUCUAAGGAUUGAUUAGUUUUAAUGUUCAAAACUGUAAUGGAAGAGACAAUUAUUACAUAUGCUAUCAAUGAUUAGGAUAUAUUAUUAUCCACAACUUUGAAUUUGCAUUUGCAUUAAAAAUUCUAAAUCAGGAGAAGAACUCAUUCGAUGAUUUUCUACAUGAUGUGAUUUUAUUAUGUAUGAUUGUAUAUAAUAACUGGCAUAAAACCUCAAAGUAUAUUGCAAAUGUCAUACAAUUUAGAGGUUUAUCGCUAUUAACCAGGUUCAAUCCACCAUUUUCUAGAUAAGAAAAUGUCUCUACCAAGUCAGAAAUAUCACAGUUGUUGUCCAUUCGUUUGAAGUGUUUGAGCUUUAAUUUUGCCAUUUGAUUAGGGACUUUCCGUUUUGAAUUUUCCUCGGAGUUCAGUACUUUGUGAUUUUACCUUUUGCCAUCUUAUUUAACAUGGUAUGUUAAAGUGUAUUGACUUACUUCAUACUUAUACAUAUACUGUAUGAUUGUAUAGUUAUUGAGACAAAUCCAUGCACCAGGAGGUUCAAAAGUAUUCGUUUGUUGUUGUGGUUCAUAUGUGUUUUUGGUUUCUCGUAUUUUUUAAUAGAUUCAAUCGUUGUUUUUCCGUUUUGAAUGGUUUUUAUAAUUGUCAUUUUUGGGACCCGUUAUAACUUAAUGUUCGGUGUAAACCAAGGCUCUGUGUUGAAGACAGUACUUUGACCUAUAAUCAUUAUUGUUUAAAUUUGCAAAUUUUGUAAGUUUUACUUUUAAUUUUUUUUUCAUCACGGCGGCGCUGGUUAGUCUUGUGUGGACGUGGCGCGCGUCUGGCGUAUUUAAUUUUUAACCAGGUACCUGUUGUUGGCCAUUAAUCGUUUGUUUCUCUGUCCUAUAUUUUUUGCCAUUUAUUUGUAUUGUAGUCCUAUCAUGUAAUGUUUUCAUUUUAAUGUUACAAUUGACAUUACCAUUAAAGCGGGAGGUUUGGCAUGCAACAAAACCAGGUAUAACCCACCAUUUUUUUUUCUUCAAAUGCCCUGUACCAAGUCCGGGAAAUGGCAAUUGUUAUAUUAUAGUUCGUGUCUGUGUGUGUUACAUUUUAAUGUUGUGUUCCUGUUGUGUCGUAGUUCUCUUAUAUUUGAUGCUUUUCCCUCGGUUUUAGUUUGUAUCUCGGAUGUGUUUUUUCUCUAUCGACUUAUGAAUUUCGAACAGCGGUAUACUACUGUUGUCUUUAUUUGACUUGAAUGAGAGAAUUGUCUCAUUUGUACUGAUAACAAAUCUUCUUAGUUCUAUCACUGCCAGCGAAAAGAAACACUAGUUUACAAUUUUAAUCCUUUGGUAAAAGUUAUUGCCAUACGACGAUUGUUAGUUUGUUUGGUCGUCAAUAUCAAAUACUAUGUUAAAAAGAACCUUAUUCAUCUCACUAUCCAACUGCUCCUCUGUAUCUAUAUCUAACAACGUUCCUUUUUAUCAAGAAUAAAUAAUAUCUUCCCAUUUCUUUGAGCGAGUUUACGAGUGAGACAUUGAUUACCAAUUGGUUGUCACUGCUGCAAUGACGUUUGGUAAUUUACCAUUACAUUUGAAUUUUAUGAGCUUUUUGUUUUAACGACAACCGUUUUUCCUUUUUCAAUUCUUCAAAUAUAAUUAUUGUAAACAGAGAGAAAGAUUAUUAAUGAAAAUAUUAAUGUAUAAUGCAUUUGUUGUUUUAAUCACUUGUCUAUUAUGAACAUAAUGCUCAAAUAUCUUUCAAAUUAUAUAAUUAAAAUACCUAACUGUUAAAAAAACAAAUGAUCGACAUUGAUCGUGGCAAGAAAUUGAGAAUAGAUACAACCGUCAACUGACAAUUUAUAAGUGUUUUUGUCCUUAAGUAAAGAUGUUGACAGAUGUCGGUAUAUUUCUGAACUUUUAAUGGUUAAACAGAUGUCAUACACACCUAAAUUAAGCAAAAAAUUUAAUAUCUACAAAAGCCACCAUUGAUUAAAAAAUAUCUAUGUUUUGCCUUUCGUAAAGUUUUAAGAAAAUAAAAAUAAACAGAAACAGAAUGCAUCAACAUGAUAACAAACAUUUAAGAUCAAAAUACCGGUUAUUGAAACAUCACGUUUCUGUAGUGGCUAUUACUAUUCUUCUAAGUACUACCUGCUAUCUACUGAUUGUAGUUUGGUAAUCUUCCAAUAGAAUAAUUUUUAGAAAGACAAAUCAAACCCAUGAAAGUGUAGACCGACAAACAUCAUCAACGACUUACAACUGCCAUACAAGUUGAGUUUUUAGCUAGUAUAAAACCAGGUUUAAUCAACCAUUUUAUACAUAAGGGAAUGCAUGUACAAAAUCUGGAAUAUGACAGUUAUUUCCCAUUCGUUUGAUGUGUAUGAGCUUUUGAUUUUGCCAUUUGAUAAUGGACUUUCCGUUUUUUAUUUUCCUUUAAAUUCGGUAUUUUUGAUAUUUUACUUUGUAGAGUGUCUUAAAAAAUGAGAAUAUGAUUAAUCACAAGUUUGCUCCCAGUUAGGUUUGAUUAAAGAUAUGACAUUUCUAGCUCUAAAGUCUGUUAUCUCGAAAAUAAGAAAUAAAAAGAGUAGACAGAAGGUUUUAACAAUUAAUAUUAUUUUCAAGACUAGAUUUAUGUACACAUUUCUUGACAUAGAUUGUCAAGUGGUAUUUUAUUUUAGUCAUUAGCAUUCAAAAUUUACUUUUUAUUAACUGUAGUUAAUUUUUGAUUUUUAUAAAAAAAAAAAAUAUUACUAGUUGGAAUUGAAACAGCUAAAAUGAUACACAAACUCAUUGAGAUCAAAAGUUCAUUUCUUGUAUAUAAUCAGAGUGGUGCAUCGGGAUCCUGUUGUUUAGAGAACUAUGUUCUUGUCAAAUGAGUAAAAUAGUUUCUGAUACCUUGGGCCUGAAAUAAUACUUGUUACAGUAAUGGAAAUGUAUCUUAUUUUACAGAUUCCUUCAACUAUAUUUUUAUUAUGUGAAGUUCAUGUUUGAUGGUAGGCUAGUUGAUGCUGCUUGUUAUUUUUUACUACUAUAACAAUUACCUUGUAUUUUUAUAAUCAUUACUUAUCUUCUUUUUGUAGAGUUUUCUUUAUGGCGUCAUCCUUCCACAGCUGUGGUGUGUGUGAACUCCGACUCAUCACCAAUUCAUGCAUAGUCUGGUGUACGGAAUGUGAUGAAGGACUAUGUAAAGAAUGUCAUGAACAUCAUAGAUUGUCAAAGGCUUCGAGGAACCAUAGUGUGAUACCAUUUACGGAUUACCAAAAAUUACCGACAGAUGUUCUGAAAAUCAGUCAAUACUGUAGCAAACACAAUAAAAAGUUUGAAAUGUUUUGCCAGAAACACGAACGACCUUGCUGCAGUAAAUGUAUAGUAGAAACACUUAAAGAAUGUCGGGAUAUCGUCGAUUUAGAUGACGUAAUUAAGAAUUACGAAACCCCCAGUGCCCCAUCUGAGAUUGAGAAAACAUUAGUUGAACUAGCAGAAAAUCUACAAAAAAUUCGCCAAUAUCAACAUGACAAUAUGUCGACUUUGAAAGAAAAAAGAAAGAAAAUUGAAAAAGAAAUUACGAGGACAAGAACGGAGAUCAACAACCAUCUCAAUAAAAUUGAAGAAGAUUUUAUGAAACAACUCUAUGUCCUCGAAGAAAAAGAAAACUCGAAAAUUGGUCAGUUAUUGUCAUUAUUAGAAAAGAAAGAAAAUGAAGUUGAAGAAUGCCAGAAAUAUAUUAUUAACAUCAAACAACAUGCCACAAAUCUUCAGAUGUUCUUUUCAGUGAAACAAAUCGAGGAAGACGUCUCUAACAAAGAUAAAUUCCUGCACUCCUUAUUUGAAGGUGAGGAUUUAACCCAGCAUUUUCUGGAAUUCGACAUAAAUGGAGCCUUUCAGAAAAUCAUGUUUGAUAUAAAACGUUUUAGGGAAGUACAUAUUGAAGAACAACCUGCCGAUAUUGUUCUAAGCAGAAAGAAGGCGAAAGAAGCCCAGAUAAUAGUACCGAUCGUUCAAUCAAGAUCUUUUGAAAACAUUAAUUUGAAGAUAAACAAGACAAUUAACCUGCAAGGUAGCUGGAUUUACGGUUGUUGCAUGCUGCCAGAUGGUAGAUUGGUGUUUACCUACAACCAUGAAGGAAAAUUAAGAGUAUUCAACGAUCAAGGAUCAAAAGAAUUUGAGAUGAAGAUACCAUGUGGAGCGUUUGAUUUGGUAUACAUUAGCAAUGACAAUACAUUGGUUGUAACAUCCGGUGAAUCAUGCAAGCAAUGUCUUUCCAUUGUAGACUUGAAGAAGAAAAAAAUUAAGAAAACAAUAUCACUGAGUUCGGAUAACUAUGGCAUGGUAUUAAAGGACAAUCAAUUGAUUUAUUCCGCCUUCAACAAAGGUAUACGAAUGAUAAAUCUACACGACGAGUCUUUGACCGACAUUGUCCGAGAAGAAAUGCCAACGGAAGGUUACACUGCGAUAUUUAAAGACAACAUUUAUCAUACAAACAGAAUAAGUCACACUGUUAAAUGUUACAACUUACAAGGUGAAAUACAAUGGACAUUCAAAAAUGAAGACGUUCUGAAAAAUCCCCUUGGUAUUGAUGUAGAUAGUGAUGGUAACUUGUAUGUGGCAGGGAUUCAUUCGAACAAUGUUGUUAUUAUCUCCAACGAUGGACAAAUGUAUCGAGAGCUAUUGGCAGCAGGUGUUGGUUUUCGAUAUCCCAUCGCACUCCGUUAUUAUGGACAUAAGAAACAAUUGCUAGUGGCAAAUAUUCACGACGAGGCUCGACUGUUUGAUUUGAUUUAACAUGUUUACAACUUCUCUCUCUAUCUUCUGUUCAUUAUUCGAUAUCAUUAACGACGACAUUAUUAGAAGCCGUAUACUAUUGCAUUUUACCCGUCUCGUUCCUUCCAGGAUAAUGAGAAGCAUCAUAAGCUAAUGUGAAAAUGGACUAUGGAAUCUUUAAAAGGUGAAAAAUA